AUUGAACGCUGGCGGAAUGCUUUACACAUGCAAGUCGAACGGCAGCAUAGGUGCUUGCACCUGAUGGCGAGUGGCGAACGGGUGAGUAAUACAUCGGAACGUGCCCAGUCGUGGGGGAUAACGUAGCGAAAGUUACGCUAAUACCGCAUACGAUCUAAGGAUGAAAGCGGGGGACCGUAAGGCCUCGCGCGAUUGGAGCGGCCGAGGUCAGAUUAGGUAGUUGGGGAGGUAAAGGCUCACCAAGCCGACGAUCUGUAGCUGGUCUGAGAGGACGACCAGCCACACUGGGACUGAGACACGGCCCAGACUCCUACGGGAGGCAGCAGUGGGGAAUUUUGGACAAUGGACGCAAGUCUGAUCCAGCCAUUCCGCGUGCAGGACAAGGCCUUCGGGUUGUAAACUGCUUUUGUACGGAACGAAAAAGCUCUUACUAAUACUAGGAGUCCAUGACGGUACCGUAAGAAUAAGCACCGGCUAACUACGUGCCAGCCGCCGCCGUAA
rnacentral:rRNA from 1 species